GAGGGUAUAGCUCAAGUGGCAGAGUGCAUGCUCAGCAUGCAUGAGGUCCUGGGUUCAAUCCCCAGCACCUCCU
rnacentral:tRNA from 1 species